GACCAUGGCUCAGGAUGAACGCUAGCUACAGGCUUAACACAUGCAAGUCGAGGGGAAACGACAUCGAAAGCUUGCUUUUGAUGGGCGUCGACCGGCGCACGGGUGAGUAACGCGUAUCCAACCUGCCCAUCACUUGGGAAUAACCUUGCGAAAGUAAGACUAAUGCCCAAUGAUAUCCCACGAAGGCAUCCGAAUGGGAUUAAAGAUUUAUCGGUGAUGGAUGGGGAUGCGU
rnacentral:rRNA from 1 species